rnacentral:rRNA from 1 species
UACGUAGGGACCAAGCGUUGUUCGGAUUUACUGGGCGUAAAGGGCGCGUAGGCGGCAAAUUAAGUCAUCUGUGAAAUCUCCGAGCUUAACUCGGAACGGUCAGGUGAUACUGAUCUGCUAGAGUGCGGAAGGGGCAAUCGGAAUUCUUGGUGUAGCGGUGAAAUGCGUAGAUGUCAAGAGGAACACCUGAGGUGAAGACGGGUUGCUGGGCCGACACUGACGCUGACAGCGCGAAAGCCAGGGGAGCAAACGGG